rnacentral:lncRNA from 1 species
GGCGCCGGCCCCGUCCGCCCCGCCCGCUGCACGCGCGCUCUCCCGCGCGGACCCGGAACUGGCGCUGCCCGGGGCCGGUCCAUCCCGGAGAGAGCGGCAGCGCGAGCCCGGGGCGGGGGGGAGGGGGAGGCAGUUGGAUCGCCGCGCGGCCUCCUGCAACGUGCGCGACCCGGAGCAAGUGGCUGCACCUGAGCCCGAUCUCUAAAAAUGGGACUCUCGGGCCACACGCCUCGCUGAGCAUCCCAGGCCCUUUUGGAGGCGCCGAAAGAAAGCAGAGGUGCACGGGACAGGAGGAUGCCCCCAGAGCUACCUGCUGCAGCAUAGCUGUGGGGACCACACAGAACAAGGCCCAGUCUGAGACAGCAUGGGAUGGGGGAGCCCCGUGGAGGAACAGAGAAAACAUUUGUGUUGCCAGAGGGAAGAAAGGAAGGACAGCACUGAGCCACCAAUCAAUGAAUCCUCCUUCUCUGGGAAAUAGCAAGACGGGGGACCGAGAGCAGCUGAGACGUUGGUGUGGUGGAUCUCCUGCCACAUGGAAACGUGAAGGCAGAAAAAAGAGGAUGUUCUCCACCAAUAGACACCUUGACAAAUGUGAGGACCUGGUCAAGGAUCCCCCCCCAGACACAACUUUUUGGCAAAGAUGACAAUUCUUUGAAUUGGAAAGCAGAACUUGAUUUUGAAGGAAAGUUUACCAUCAGGCAUAGCUGCAACGAUACCGAUAACCCUCGGGCCACAUUAGAGGUAGAUAAACGGAGAUUCAAAUACUGUCCCCAUUAUUGCUUGGAUCACCACAAUGACAUCACCUGUGUCCAACAGCAGACAAGACCUGUGUCACUAAAGGGCAGUGCAUUGAGGGGCGAUUAGCAUUAUGAAUUUCAAACCUGAUCCUUUAUAAGUUUCCUCUCUUGGUUAUGUGGCAGACUGGGUUUCUCUGGGCUCUGCACUCUCUCUGCUCCUUCCCAUUGUCAACCCUGGAAAGAGAUGAGAAGGUGGGUCUUUUUUUUUUUUUUUUUUUUUUUUUUUUUGGUAUCAAUAAANNNNNNNNNNNNNNNNNNNNNNNNNNNNNN